rnacentral:lncRNA from 1 species
UCAAGAGAAACGAGAUUCAAGUCGUGAUCGAGGGAAAAAUAAAGUUUACGAGGAAUAGGCUCGAUUGCUAAUAUUUUAUAUCGAGGUAAGUUCAUAUGAUUUUUAAUAAUGCAAUGUGUAAUUUAAUGUUUUGAAAUGAAAAUUUCAUGAAUGAUAUAGUAUAUUAUUGCAUAUAAAAUGUCAUUAAACUGUGAUAAUUGUAAAAUGAUAUUUGAAUAAAAGUACAAAUUAAAUGGAACAACGGACUUGAGUACUUUCAUUCAGUGGCUAAGACGAAUUGACGGAAAAGACCAUGGUUGGACCAUGGCAGCAUGUGAAAUGUGAUUUCCGUAUAAGACCAUAGCUGGGCUAUGGCUUCGGAGAAAUGUGAUAUGUUCUUCCGUAUAAGACCAUAUCCGGGAUAUGGCAUCGGUGUGAUAUGUGCUACUGUAUAAGACCAUAUCUGGGAUAUGGCAUCAGUGUGAUAUGUGAUCCGUGUAAGACCAUGGCUGGGCUAUGGCCUCGGUAUGUGAUAUGUGACUAUGUGCAAGACCAUAGUUUUACUAUGGCAUUGUGAUAAUAAGGUACUCAAUUCCAUAAUCGUUCCCUAAUUUGAUUAUGAACGAAAAAGUAAAAUGACCCGAAAAGAUUAAGAAUUGGUGAAUACUAUGAAAAUGACACGAUUUGGAAUAAGUUCUUGAUACUUGAUGACAUUGAGAUUAUGGAUCUAUGCUUAUGAAGCAUAAUUAUGUGUUCUUACCAUGAUGGAUGAAAUGAUAUUGUAUGGAUUUAGUGAAUAAUAGUGGUGAAUGAAUAAAUAUGGCCUUGGCAGUUUUGGGUUACUGCAGUAGUGUAACUUUUGAAAUUCACCAUAAAUUGUGGAAAUUGAGUUACGGGCUGAGUAAAAUAUGAGAUUAAAUCCUGACGAGUCUAGUUUCAUAUAGAGGAAACGGUACAUGCAAUUGGAUUUUAUGUUAUGAGAUAUUUAAAUUGUUGUGAGACAGAGUCUGAAUGACUUCGAGAUCCACUGUUCUGAUUUUAGAAAAUCAUUAGAAAUUGUACAAAAAUAAUUAUGAGUUUUAAUUUAUAUAUUUAAAAUCCUUAUCGAGUCUAUUUUCAAGAUGGAUAGACGGGAACAUCAUCCAAGUCCCGAAUUAUGAGAUAAAUAAUUUUUAGUGAAGAGAGAUCAGAACUGUUGGACAGCGAAACAGGGGAAAAUUUAAUGAAUAAACUGUACUAAAUGGCUAAACCAAAAAUUCUGGAAAUUUUAUGGCAGAAAGGUAUAUGAAUCUAGUUUCAAGGAAAAUUAACGGAACUUAAUUUGAAGUUCCGUAGCUCCAUAAAUAAAUUAUUUAGUAAAUGUAUCUCGAUAAAACAGUUUAAGCUGAGUAUGUAUAAUUGUACAAUUAUGGUGUUUUAUCUUAAAAGCAUGUUGGUAAUUGCUUAUUAAAUCAUAUGGACUUACUAAGCAUUUAUGCUUACUCCCUCCUUUUCAUUCCUUGUAGUUUUGACAAGCCAGCUCGGAAAUCGGGAACAGUCGGAGGCCCACUCACACUAUCCGUAUACCAUCUUGGCAUAAUGGCUUGUAUAUUUUGAGUAUGGCAUGUAUAGCAUUAUAAUCAUUUUGUGUAUAUGGUCUUAUGAUAUGGAUAUUGAGUGGUAUGGAAAUGCUUGGU